UACCUCUCAGGGUCGCACCGGGAGAUUUUCUGGGGCUCUACCAGUCUCGACUACAGGAGGGAGAGUGAAGCAGAGUCCUACCCAUUCCAUUCCUAGCUUGGCCAGUGGCUAGCGAGGGGAAGGCCAUCUGCUACAAGU